GCCAGGUGUGGUGGUGCACACCUGUAGUCCCAGCUACAUAGGAGGCUGAGGCAGGAGGAUCGCUUGAGCCCAGGAGAUUGAGGCUGCAGUGAGUCGUGUUUGUGCCACUGCACUCUAGCCUGAAUGACAGAGCAAGAUUCUGUCUCAA
rnacentral:sRNA from 1 species